AACGAACGCUGGCGGCGCGCCUAAUACAUGCAAGUCGAGCGAGAAGACGUAGCAAUACGUUUGUAAAGCGGCGAACGGGUGAGGAAUACAUGGGUAACCUACCCUCGAGUGGGGAAUAACUAGCCGAAAGGGUUAGCUAAUACCGCGUACGCUCCUUGGACUUCGGUUCAGGGAGGAAAGCGAUACCGUGGGUAUCGCGCUCUUGGGAUGGGCUCAUGUCCUAUCAGC
rnacentral:rRNA from 1 species